UGCCAGCAGCCGCGGUAACACGGGGGGCGCAAGCGUUAUUCGGAAUUAUUGGGCGUAAAGAGCUCGUAGGCGGUUUCGUAAGUCGGGUGUGAAAAAUCUGGGCUCAACCCAGUGGAGCACCCGAUACUGCGAUGACUCGAGUCCGGUAGAGGAGUGUGGAAUUUCUGGUGUAGAGGUGAAAUUCGUAGAUAUCAGGAGGAACACCGAUGGCGAAGGCAUCUCUCUGGGUCGAUAUUGACGCUGAGGCGCGAAGGCGUGGGUAGCGAACGGGAUUAGAUA
rnacentral:rRNA from 1 species